CCUUAGUUCGAGAGGGACCUAGAGAGAAAACAGAGUGAAAUCAAGAGGAAAAUAGGGAGAAUCGAGUGAAAGUUGGGGAGAUGGAGUGAAAUCUCUUUGAUACCUGGCUUCCUGAAGAUGUUUUGCUACCAUUGAAGGAAGAAGAAGACGAAUCGAAGACGAAGCUUUGUUUCUUCUCCAUCUCAGUCGUGAAAUAAGCUUAAAUUGAGGUCAUGGUAAUUCAAAACAGACUUUCUGGACACUCGACUCAGACAAGACUCAAGCGUUCAAUACUGCACUGUAUUCAAUCAUGUCCUGAAGCGCCUUAGAGUGACAAUAACGGGUCUUAGAAAUCAACGUGUACUAGUAUUUAUAACCUUGUACAAGGUCCGUGUAUGCAGAAUUAUACUCUGGUCCUUUAUUUUUCCUUAUCAAUGGAAGAUAACUAGUGAUUUUUCCACCCGCUUACCGCCUCAGCAAAUGUUCUAACCGAGGAGCCAGCUUCAGCCAAUGUACUAGUCGCAGAACAUUUUAGUUCUUCCAUCUUACUCCUAAGUCUCUUUCCUUCUUCACCUUCCAUAAGUUCCUUCACAACCUUACAAAUCUCAUCAUGUCCUAUAAUACCAUUCUUCAUUUUUUUCAGCCUUAUAGCUACUUUCAUGUCAUCUGUAAGCAUCGCUGCAUUCAAAGUCUUCUCUGCAAAAAGUGGGAAUGCAAUUAACGGGACACCAUGCACGAUGCUUUCAAGGGUUGAAUUCCACCCACAAUGGGUUAAAAACCCACCAGUUGAUCCAUGUUUGAGGAUUUGAAUUUGUGGUACCCAUGAUGAAACAACUAAACCUGAAUUUUGGGUUCUGUCCAAAAAUCCUUUAGGUAACACUCCAGAAGGAUCCACAGUAUUUUGAGCACUCAAAUAAGAUGCAUUUGCAGCCUUUCCACUAGGAGUAGGACUUUUGAAAAACCACAGAAACUUUUGUUCACUCAUUUCCAACCCUAAAGCCAAUUCAGUUAGUUGCUCACCUGAGAGGGUUCCGCCGCUACCAAACCACACGAACAGAACAGAACCUGGUGAUUGAUUAUCCAACCACUUCAGACAACCUGACUCAUCCGAUCCAUCAUCGCGCACACCCGUUGUUCAAUCUCCUCAAAAGCUAUUCAUGAAGAUGCCUUUGCCCAAACCCAACUUCUUCCAAUAAUGUAUCACUCUUGCAUAAGUCUCUGUUUUCCGAUCUUGUAAUGACUUCGUAAGAUCGAUUCCCCAGAUCGGUACACAACCCGGUAUCCGAAUCAUUUCAGGUACAACUCUGAACUCACAAGAGUAAGUUUUGUCCAGUUUGGGUAAAUGGUAACACAUACAUAGCAGCAUAGCAGUUGAUGUUGAAAAAAUGUAAGCAUCGAUAUCAAAUGCGUUAGCAAUAGCAGUUGACUCCGUAGAGAAAAGAUCAGAAACGAAAGAGACGACUCUGUGAGUUGAAGUGAUUUUUCGGGUUGAGUCAGCAAGCGCAGGCAGAGACCGUGUCACAAUUGCGCUCAUCUGAGCCUCGAUCUCAGAACCACUAGGAAGAUCACUUAUAUCCACUGGAGGUAAGAAGACGGUGUUGAUAGAAUUUGGUGAAGAAGUCAGUUGCAGAGCUUGUUUUACUGCUUUGGCUGGAGAAUUAGUUUGAUUUGCAAUGAUGAGUGUUGCCGAAAAGCCAUGAUCCAGAACGAGGCGUUUAGCGAAUUCAGAGACUGGUAUGCGAUGACCCAUACCUGGACUGGGCAUAAUAAUAACAUGAGCAGUGCUGUCUCGCACCGUGGUGCGUGUUGCUAUCCCGCUCAAGCGGCCUUUUUACCGUUAAAUCAUCAAAUCAAUGGUUGGAUUCUUUCAAGAACGGACCCAUCAUGGCUGGUUUUAUGUUCCAUGGCUGGAAAGCUGAACAAGAAAGAAUUUGAUAAAGAAGAAGCUAUAGUAAUAAGUAAAUCUGAUAAAUGUUGCAGGAAGAAGCUAGAGAAUUCAGUGACUGUAAAUGAGAGGAAGAUGAAAGUUUUGCUAUGUAAAGAAGGGUUUGGUGUGAGAUAUUGAAUGCAUCUUGAAAUUAGAAGGUUUUGUUAGUAGUGUUUAAGUGAUACGUCAUUGUUCAAUUUUUCGGUCUUUUUUAGGGAAAAGGUAGAACACUCAAGAGGGCCAUUGCCCC